rnacentral:rRNA from 1 species
GAGGGGCACACCCGUUUGAGUGUCGUGAAAUUCUCAAAAACCUUUCUUUGGAAGGAUUUUGGACUUGGAGGCCUUUUGCUGGUUUCACCUUGAAGCGAGCUCCUCCCAAAUGGAUUAGUGGGGUCUGCUUUGCUGAUCCUUGACGUGAUAAGAUGUUUCUACGUCUUGGGUUUGGCACUGUCACUUGGGCACCCGCUUCUAACCGUCUCAUCGACAAUGAUGGCGUUCCGGUCGACCACCGUUUCAUCGGUGGGAGGCUUGACCCACCACAAACCUUGACCUCAAAUCGGGUGAGACUACCCGCUGAACUUAAGCAUAUCAAUAAGCGGAGG